ACGCACGCUGGCGGCGUGCUUAACACAUGCAAGUCGCACGAAGGGCGCUGGAAGCUUGCUUCUAUCAAUCUUAGUGGCGAACGGGUGAGUAACGCGUAAUCAACCUGCCCUUCAGAGGGGGACAACAGUUGGAAACGACUGCUAAUACCGCAUACGAUCUAAUCUCGGCAUCGAGGAUAGAUGAAAGGUGGCCUCUACAUGUAAGCUAUCACUGAAGGAGGGGAUUGCGUCUGAUUAGCUAGUUGGAGGGGUAACGGCCCACCAAGGCGAUGAUCAGUAGCCGGUCUGAGAGGAUGAACGGCCACAUUGGGACUGAGACACGGCCCAGACUCCUACGGGAGGCAGCAGUGGGGAAUCUUCCGCAAUGGACGAAAGUCUGACGGAGCAACGCCGCGUGAGUGAUGACGGCCUUCGGGUUGUAAAGCUCUGUUAAUCGGGACGAAAGGCCUUCUUGCGAAUAGUGAGAAGGAUUGACGGUACCGGAAUAGAAAGCCACGGCUAACUACGUG
rnacentral:rRNA from 1 species